CACGAAGUUAGCCGUGGCUUUUUCUGGAGGUACCAUCCGGACGAUUGCCCGUCCCAUUUUCCCUCCCAAAAGGGGUUUACAAUCCGAAGACCUUCAUCCCCCACGCGGCGUCGCUGCGUCAGGCUUUCGCCCAUUGCGCAAUAUUCCUUA
rnacentral:rRNA from 1 species